rnacentral:rRNA from 1 species
CCCGCCACACUGGGACUGAGACACGGCCCAGACUCCUACGGGAGGCAGCAGUGGNGAAUAUUGGACAAUGGGGGGAACCCUGAUCCAGCCAUGCCGCGUGUGUGAAGAAGGCCUUAUGGUUGUAAAGCACUUUAAGCGAGGAGGAGGCUCUCUUGGUUAAUACCCAAGAUGAGUGGACGUUACUCGCAGAAUAAGCACCGGCUAACUCUGUGCCAGCAGCCGCGGUAAUACAGAGGGUGCGAGCGUUAAUCGGAUUUACUGGGCGUAAAGCGUGCGUAGGCGGCUUUUUAAGUCGGAUGUGAAAUCCCCGAGCUUAACUUGGGAAUUGCAUUCGAUACUGGGAAGCUAGAGUAUGGGAGAGGAUGGUAGAAUUCCAGGUGUAGCGGUGAAAUGCGUAGAGAUCUGGAGGAAUACCGAUGGCGAAGGCAGCCAUCUGGCCUAAUACUGACGCUGAGGUACGAAAGCAUGGGGAGCAAACAGGAUUAGAUACCCUGGUAGUCCAUGCCGUAAACGAUGUCUACUAGCCGUUGGGGCCUUUGAGGCUUUAGUGGCGCAGCUAACGCGAUAAGUAGACCGCCUGGGGAGUACGGUCGCAAGACUAAAACUCAAAUGAAUUGACGGGGGCCCGCACAAGCGGUGGAGCAUGUGGUUUAAUUCGAUGCAACGCGAAGAACCUUACCUGGUCUUGACAUAGUAAGAACUUUCCAGAGAUGGAUUGGUGCCUUCGGGAACUUACAUACAGGUGCUGCAUGGCUGUCGUCAACUCGUGUCGUGAGAUGUCGGGUUAAGUCCCGCAACGAGCGCAACCCUUUUCCUUAUUUGCCAGCACUUCGGGUGGGAACUUUAAGGAUACUGCCAGUGACAAACUGGAGGAAGGCGGGGACGACGUCAAGUCAUCAUGGCCCUUACGACCAGGGCUACACACGUGCUACAAUGGUCGGUACAAAGGGUUGCUACCUAGCGAUAGGAUGCUAAUCUCAAAAAGCCGAUCGUGGUCCGGAUUGGAGUCUGCAACUCGACUCCAUGAAGUCGGAAUCGCUAGUAAUCGCGGAUCAGAAUGCCGCGGUGAAUACGUUCCCGGGCCUUGUACACACCGCCCGUCACACCAUGGGAGUUUGUUGCACCAGAAGUAGGUAGUCUAACCGUAAGGAGGACGCUUACCACGGUGUGGCCGAUGACUGGGGUGAAAUCGUAACAAGGUAGCCGUAGGGGAACCUGCGG